GAUGAACGCUGGCGGCGUGCCUAAUACAUGCCAGUCGAGCGAACGGACGAGAAGCUUGCUUCUCUGAUGUUAGCGGCGGACGGGUGAGUAACACGUGGAUAACCUACCUAUAAGACUGGGAUAACUUCGGGAAACCGGAGCUAAUACCGGAUGAUAUUUUGAACCGCAUGGUUCAAAAGUGAAAGACGGUCUUGCUGUCACUUAUAGAUGGAUCCGCGCUGCAUUAGCUAGUUGGUAAGGUAACGGCUUACCAAGGCAACGAUGCAUAGCCGACCUGAGAGGGGGAUCGGCCAACCGGGAACUGAAACACGGUCCAAACCCCCACGGGGGGCAGCAGUGGGGAAUCUUCCGCAAUGGGCGAAAGCCUGACGGAGCAACGCCGGGGGAGUGAUGAAGGUCUUCGGAUCGUAAAACUUUUUUAUUAGGGAAGAACAAAUGUGUAAGUAACUGUGCACAUUUUGACGGUACCUAAACAGAAAGCCACGGCUAACUACGU
rnacentral:rRNA from 1 species